UCUGGGUGGAAUGUUGUCUGGUUCAAGGUCUUGCCAUGUGAUUUGAGGAUGAACGGUUUGUGCAUGCAUAACUUUCAUUUCUCUUGUUUGCGGGAUCUCGGACCAGGCUUCAUUCCCCUCAGA
rnacentral:pre_miRNA from 1 species